GUUAUUAGCGGGCGGAAGCAAAGAGCCACAUGAUCUACACUUCUUCCUCUAAUCAUGACCUUCAAACGUCGGAAUGGUGACCGCAACAAGCAUGGCCGUGGCCAUGUCAAAUUCAUCCGCUGCUCUAACUGUGGCAAAUGUUGCCCCAAUGCAAUUUUCAUCUAUAAUUUAUGAUGGCUUUUCUUUUCCGUUUUUGAUUUGUUUUUUCAUUGUUUGGAAUAUUAAAGGAUAAGUCGAUCAAGAGAUUUCUUGUGAGGAACAUUGUCGAACAAGCUGCUGUUAGUGAUGUCCAGGAAGCCUGAGUCUAUGACUCGUACACUCUGCCUAAGCUGUAUGUGAAGAUGCAAUACUGUGUUUCAUGUGCGAUCCACUCUCAUGUCGUGAGAGUCCGAUCCCUUACUGACGGGAGGAACCGUGAUCCACUCCAGCGCUUCAUCAGGCGCAGGGUAUGUUUUUCUUUAUAACCCUUGAUUCAAUGCUUC